rnacentral:rRNA from 1 species
GGGUUUGAUUAUGGCUCAGAUUGAACGCUGGCGGGAUGCUUUACAUGCAAGUCGAACGGCAGCUUUAAAGGCUUCGGUCUGAGUGGCGAGUGGCGAACAGGUGAGUAAUGUAUCGGAACGUGCCUAGUAGCGGGGGAUAACUACGCGAAAGCGUAGCUAACCUGCAUACGCCCUUCGGGGAAAGCAGGGGACCUUCGGGCCUCGCACUAUUGAAGGCGGCCGAUAUCAGUUAGCUAGUUAUUGGGGUAACGGCUCACCAAGGCGACGAUCAAUAACUGGUUUGAGAGGACGACCAGCGGCCACACUGGGACUGAAGACACGGCCCAGACUCCUACGGAGGGCAGUGAGGGGAAUUUUGGACAAUGGGGGAAACCCUGAUCCAGCCAUCCCGCGUGUGCGAUGAAGGCCUUCGGGUUGUGCGAGCACUUUUGGCAGGAAAAGAAACGGCGCAGGGAUAAUACCCGUGCAGCUGACCAGUACCUGCAGAAUAAGCACGCCGGUAACUACGUGCCAGCAGCCGCGGUAAUACGUAGGGUGCAAGCGUUAAUCGGAAUUACUGGGCGUAAAGCGUGCGCAGGCUGGUUCGGAAAGAAAGUGAAAUCCCAGAGCUUAACUUUGGAACUGCAUUUUUAACUACCGAGCUUCUGAUGUGUCAGAGGGAGGUGGAAUUCACGUGUAGCAGUGAAAUGCGUAAAGAUAUGCGGAGGAACACCGAUGGCGAAGGCAACCUCCUGGGGAUACUGACGCUCAUGCGCAGCAUUGGGAGCAAGCAGGAUUAGAUACCCUGGUAGUCCACGCCUAAACGAUGUCAACUAGCUCCACCAGGCCUUCGGGCCUUGGUAGCGCAACUAACGCGUGAAGUUGACCGCCUGGGAGAGUACGGUCGCAAGAUUAAAACUCAAAGGAAUUGACGGGACCGCACAAGCGGUGGAUGAUGUGGAUUAAUUCGAUGCAACGCGAAAAACCUUACCUACCCUUGACAUGUCUGGAAUCCCGAGAGGUGGGAGUGCUCGCAAAGACGGAACACAGGUGCUGCAUGGCUGUCGUCGGGCUGGUGUCGUGAGAUGUUGGGUUAAGUCCCGCAACAGGCGCAACCCUUGUCAUUAGUUGCUACGAAAGGGCACUCUAAUGAGACUGGUGACAAACCUGGAGGAAGGUGAGGAUGACGUCAAGUCCUCAUGGCUAUAUGGUGAGGGCUUCACGUCAUACAAUGGUCGGGACAGAGGGUCGCCAACCCGCGAGAGGCCAAUCGAAACGAUGUAGUCAGAAUCGCAGUCUGCAACUCGACUGCGUGAAGUCUGGAAUCUUUAGUAAUCGCGGAUCAGCAUGUCGCGGUGAAUACGUUCAGGUCUUGUACACCGCCCGUCACACCAUGGGUAGGUUUUACCAGAAGUAGUUAGCCUAACCGUAAGGAGGGCGAUUGCCACGGUACAGGAUUCAUGACUGGGGUGAAGUCGUAACAAGGU